GCCACCCACAGGCCUAACUUUCAGAGUCCUGUGUUCCCUUGGGCCUUUCUUGGAUGUGGCAACAGAAUACUUUGUGACAUUGGGUGAAAAAGCAGAACUGGCGUGGUGCAUUGUAGAGCGAUUCUGUUGUGAAAACAGAAACUUUCAGACACCUUUUCUUCUGUAAAUAGAAUAUGUGCUUUCCGAAGAUUGAGGUCAUCUCGAGCUUGAGUGAUGACAGUGACCCUGAACUGGACUACACGUCACUCCCUGUGCUGGAAAACCUGCCCACAGACACUCUGUCAAAUAUAUUUGCAGUCUCUAAAGACACCCCAAAGGCGGCUCGGGUGCCCUUCACAGACAUCUUUAAAAAAGAACCUAAGAGGGACUUGGAAAUCCGAAAACAAGACACCAAGUCCCCAAGACCCCUGAUCCAGGAGCUCAGCGACGAGGACCCCUCUGGCCAGCCACUGAUGCCCCCCACCUGCCAAAGAGAUGCUGCACCACUCACUUCCAGUGGAGACAGGGACAGCGACUUCCUUGCAGCCUCUUCUCCGGUGCCGACUGAGAGCGCCGCCACACCCCCAGAGACGUGUGUCGGAGUUGCCCAGCCCAGCCAAGCUCUGCCCACGUGGGACCUCACUGCAUUCCCAGCACCGAAAGCAUCAUAGUUUUCCCCAGUUAUAUGUAGCAUAAAUGGUUUAAUUAUAAAUGUCUCCCUUAGGCAUGAUAAACAUUUUAACACCCA
rnacentral:sRNA from 1 species